rnacentral:tRNA from 1 species
GGGCUGGGGCUCAGCGGUAGAGUGCUCGCCUAGCAUGUGUGAGGCCCUGAGUUCAAUCCUCAGCACCACA